AGAAUCUCUCUGUGAUGAAUAGCUUGUAAUAAUUUGAGGUAAACUUUUAUUGAACUCAGAUCUAAAUUGCUUGUUGUGUUUCUUUCUACAGGGUUAACAGCUAGUAGAGGAGGCCUACGUGGUGUGGCGUGGCCUGAAGCCAACACUCUGAAGCCAUUAUGCUGAUAUAGCAGAACCGACUCCUGAGAGCAGACGUAUCUGAAGCUGUCAGGGAGGAACCAUGGCUACCAUCUCUGAACCGGACCCUGGACUCUCUGAGGAACCUGAGGACACGUCUUUGGACCGGAGGGAGCGCAAGAGAAGAUUUGCUGGUAGAGCAAAGAAGAAGGCUAAGUCCAGACGCCGUGGAAGCCGUCAGAGAGUAACAAUGGUCACCAUCUCGGACCGGGAGGAGACCAAGAAGAGAAGAUUUGCUCUAUGGUUUCACAUCACUGUCAUUGUGAGCAUCGGACUGCUGAGUAUUCUCCUCAUCUCCCUGCGCUUCAGUGAGUCUAAAUCCUAUCCUCCUGAAUAGAAUUACAAUACAGUAAUCAUAUCAUUGAUUGUAUUAAUAGCAAUGAUAAUGUUAAAUAUUGUUUUUGUUAGAUUUAGUGAUAAUAAUACGGUUAGCACACAUACACCGCACGCACACCCAUAAACACAGCAUACACACACACAAACAAUCCACACACACGUGCACGAACACACACGCACAUGCACACACACUGCACACACGGGCGUGCUGAUGCAGGCGUUUCAAGACAAGGGCAGCGCAGGACACCGCCUACACACACACCACACACACAUGCACACACACACGCACACACAUGCACGUGCAUACACACACUGCACACACGCGGAUGCAGAUGUUUCAAGACAACGGCAAGAUUGAGAUAACAGCCCCGCCGUCGACACACUCUCCCACCUGAGCCUUAUGUCCAUCAAAGACACUUUUUUGCAAAACCUUAUUUUUCUUUAAACAUUCUCCAUCUCCUUGAGGCUCCAGAAAUGUCUUGUGAUAUUGAAAUCCCCCCUCCCCCCUGCCGACUGUAUUAGCUGUUUUAUUUUUCUUAUGUUUUAUGUGUAGGCUAUGUGUGACUGUAGGCUACUGCUGCUUGUCUUGGCCAGAUCACUUGAAGAGAUGUUUAAUCUCAAUGACGCAUUCUUCUGUUAAGAAAAAAAAAACAUCUCUCACGUCAGGUAGCCACAAUCUGUAAUCUAGCCCUCACA